rnacentral:rRNA from 1 species
GACAGAGGGGGGCAAGCGUUGCUCGGAAUCACUGGGCGUAAAGGGCGCGUAGGCGGGAUGGCAAGUCGGUCGUGAAAUCCUUCGGCUCAACCGAAGAACGUCGGCCGAUACUGCCGUUCUUGAGGGAUGCAGAGGAGAUUGGAAUUCCCGGUGUAGCGGUGAAAUGUGUAGAGAUCGGGAGGAACACCGGUGGUGUAGACGGCUCACUGGACCGUAACUGACGCUGAGACACGAAAGCGUGGGUAGCAAACAGG